UACGGAGGGUGCAAGCGUUGUCCGGAUUUAUUGGGUUUAAAGGGUGCGUAGGCGGUUCUUUUAGUCCGGGGUGAAAGCCCACUGCUCAACAGUGGAACUGCCCUGGAAACUGGAGAACUUGAGUACAGACGAGGGCGGCGGAAUGGAUGGUGUAGCGGUGAAAUGCAUAGAUACCAUCCAGAACCCCGAUUGCGAAGGCAGCUGCCUAGACUGUAACUGACGCUGAGGCACGAAAGCGUGGGGAGCGAACAGG
rnacentral:rRNA from 1 species